rnacentral:tRNA from 1 species
AGCGGGUUGGUGGAGUGGUCUAUCACGUGUGACUUAAGACACCGCAAGGACAAAGCGAUUUUCGGAUCGCUUAACCUUUGCAAGGUUUCACAUCUCGCAAGAGGCGCGGGUUCGAACCCCGCACCCGCUA